GACCCGGUGUGUGGAUGUGGGUGUCAAUGUGCCAAAGGGUUCAUCCAUCUGGGUACCACGGUCCAAGAUCUGCACGGGGCCGCCGCCUUCGCCGCCCCCAGCCCCCUUCCAGCCAACACGCCCAGGCGCUGUUGAAGGAUGGGACGAGGUAACCGGAUGAGACAGGUGGCCAUGUUUCACGGCGAGGCGUAAACAUUGUGGAGCUGCCCUGAUUAUUUCUGUCCAAAAGGUCGAUGCUCGAAUGCAGGAUUUCCCGGACAAACGUGGAUGUCUUAUUAGACCCGGCAGGCCACACUGCACCUUUCCAGGCAGGAAGACAGGAGGAGACAGGAGGCACGGUGCAGGGGGACCAUGUGACAGGAAGAAGGAAUUGUUAGUGGGACGUGAAAUGCAUUU